CGCGGCGCUCGCUCCGCAGGCCCGGCCGGCUCGUCUGUGAGAGCCGCUCCAGCUCCCAGCGAUGAGCGCGCGGGGCGGCGGCGGGAGGGGCCGGCGUGUUUUUCCUGAGGUCUCAGCGUCUCCUCGCUCCUUACGCAGCAGAGUCACCUCCCUGCCCUGGGUCUGUCCCAGCGGCGAGUUGUCUCUCGCAAUGUGUUAGGCAUACUCUGACAGAAUAGUUGUUUGCUGGUCACCUGUAGGGAUCAGCUCUUCCCUUCUGCCCUGCACUGUGGCCACGCGAAGUUACGCCAGUGCACCUGAAGGGCUGAGCAGAGCUGGGGGGGAUGUUCCCUGUGCCGGCAUUGCUGCUGCAUCCUCUUUAUUGUGAUCAUGCCACAACAUCACUAAUGGAAAUCAAGUCUUUCUCCUGUGGCACAGACAGAUUUUGUGCAUGACUUAAUCUGAAUCAGUAUUUUUGCUGCCUAGUGUUCAUACAUUUGAUUUGGAUAAUUGACUGUGGUGACUCACAUGCAAGAGCAGAUGCAAAGAAAUCAGUGUUUAUUUACUUUAAUGUGUUUGUCAGUAGCCUGCAGCGUUCAUGGUCUAAUUCAUAAUGUAUCUCUGCAGUAGAGUCAAUAUUGUCUGUAAGAGUAGAAAGAUAAAAAUUAUAAUCUCAUUAAUCAGCCCAUCUGAAUCUUCCAGCACAUAGGAAUUGGUGCCCCAGUACAGGCCUCUGAGUGUGAGAUGGAGGGAAGCUGACAUUCGUGGUUUUCUCCUCUGUUUCUCUUGUAGCUCAGCUUAAUGCCUCUUCUGUUUCCAGCUCAUUUAAUACUUCUGCCUCUGCUUCUUAUGCAUAUUUCCAGAAGGUUUGGGAUACUUAACCAUAGGAGUGGAUAGUGUAUAAGAAGGAAAUAAACACAUGCUAAUGGUGUACUUUUCCAUAUGACUAAAGGAAAAGGUAUCGUGCAUUCAGGACCAAAGAAUAACAUCCUACUUUUAGAGUGGGAAAUGCAUCAUGAAGUGAUGAAGUAGUGACUCUAAACAGGAUUUGAGGAAUAUUUGCGAGAUCUUUGCCUCUUCAUCACCAGAAGUUCCAGUUAGUUCUUGUGGCGAUGUCUGGGAGAGCCUCAAAAAGAGGAUAAUGAGGUGGGAGGGGAACUUGAGGUGACAGUUUUCAGCAGCAGUGAUUUGAGAGAGAUUGCUGAUGACCUUCUUCCUCCACGCUGGAAGAAGCAGGAUGAAAGGUGUAAGGACUUGUGCUGCACUGCAUAAUAAAGAGAGAUCUCCUGAAGUCUAGUGACUGGUUAUUGCCCUCUGCUGCCCGAGAUGGACCCACUGUAAUGGAGAAAUACUGGUUUAUUGGUUUUGGAACAUUCCUGCAUUCCGUGUUGUCAGGACAUGAUGCUGGCUUGUGCUCUAGGAGGAUGAUGGCUCAACACACAAUCCUGUUGUCACAAAUGCAUAAAUAGUUCAGCGAGAAAUGUAACAAAGGCUCUCUGAUACUACAGAAACAAUAAGCAGCAGGGACAAUAGAACACCUGGGAAGAAAUGUCUUCUGUUGUUGGGGCAGACAUCACCUGGAGGAUUAAAGAAAGUUAUAAAUAGAGAAAUGGCUUUUAAAUAGAUUUUCUGUGAUGCUGCUGCAGGUCUUUGAAGAAUGAAAAUAAUUGACUGAUGUGUUUUAUUAAUGUUCCUUGGUGUUUCAGAGAAACAUCUGUCUUGUGAUUUGACCAAAAAUUCAUACAAAUUUUGAUUGCUUGAUAUGAAAGAGAGUUUUAUCGGCACAAAUGGUGAUACUUAGUCUAUUCCCAGCACAGUAGCCUCUGGGCUAUGAUGGUUUUGGACUAGAGUGCUGCCAUUAUUCUGAUACUUGAUAGCUGCGUUUUCUACUGGGCAAUCAAAACGCUGUGUUUCAUUUGCUAACAGGUUUAGCUGAAGAAAGGCCCUCCUCUGAUUUUCUGUUGUACUCCUGUACUGAAGUUUACUGUCUCAGUUUAAGGUCUGGCUCAUUAUGUUAUGCCUCUUGAACUCAGUUUUAUAACCCAAAGAGAGAAAUGCAUGUAUUGUUCCAUUUAUCUCUGCUGUUGGACAGUAACUUCUGGCAGUGGUGAACAUGUAACCACCUGAGCAAGCACAGCAACAUCUGCAAGUGGUCUGUGAACUGAAGCCCUUUGUUACUCAGUCUCUUCCUCAGCAUGUACUAAUAAAAAGAAGCAACUCCACAAGCGGUGGGACUACUCAGUCUUGAUCCAGGUUUUUUUAAUCUCUUUGUUGGCUGUGAGAUCAAACCAGUGCUAUGUUAUCUUUCUUACCUUGUAGGCAGAUUCCCACCUUUCUGUAAGUGCUGUACUUUGAGAGACAAAGAAGGUGUCUAAUGCCAGGGCAAAGCUGAAAGAACUGGGGAAAAUAUAGUGAAAGCUUGUUUCUUUUAAGAAAGUGAUACAACCAUGUGUACAAAUAGAGAACAGAUUUCUUUGCAAUCCUACACAGAGGAAAAACCUCCUUUUGUUUCCAUUCUUUAUCCGUAGUUUGUCAAUUUCACCACUUAAAUUAUACAACCUACUUGGAAUAUUUUUUGGAGACAUUCUGUCUAGCAAUGUAGGGAAAAAAUUAAAUUUAGAUAUAUUUGAUGGAGCACUGUUUUUUAUUUUCUCUAAAGGAUAUUUGAAUUCUCAAUCAAGACAAAAUGUUAUAGAACACCUUUUUCUUCAUUUCCUGUGGAACUUUAUUUAAGGAAAUGAUUGAGUAGGCAGGUUGACAACUGCUAAGUCACAGUGGACUGAUACAGUUAGUUAUAUGAGCAUCUUUAAUUAGACUGUAACUUGUUUGUCCUGAUCUGCUUGAUUAGUGCCUAACUUCUCUUACCCAAAAGAAGUCCCUCAGAUCUCACUUUCAGUCCCUGAGCUAGUCAUCCUGUGGGUAUUGUGCCUCACUUCUUAUGGGGUUCUGGCUGUGAAAUAAGUUGUUUCCUUUGCUUGACCAUUGAAGUAAAAGUAAAGCUGAUAAGAAAUGCUUUGAAAACCAUGAUUGCAUGGUAUUGUGUGCCCUAGAGGAUCAGCAGUUGCAACAAGUUCAGCUGCUCUCCUGGAAGUCUGUGAAGAUGCUGCUCCAGAGCUGCAGUGCCAGGAUGUUGCCUCGUGCCUGUUCACACAUCUGUAUUUGAAGGAAAAACAAAGGCAGUUGUCCUGGUCACCAUCUGGGUGAUUAUGUAUCUGGUUCAAUGGUAAAAUCUGACAUUGGGUUAAAAUUUAAUUAAACCGUUGGAGAUCAUUUGAAUACCCCUCCUCCCUCCUAAUUUUAUGGGAGCAGUUUUAGCCAGACCUUCUUGUGUACUAAUGAGUUUUCCCUACAAAGGGUCUGUAGCUUAAUUUCUCUGUGGAUCAGUAAGAUCUUACUGGCCAGUGGAAUGCUGAGUAGUUCUUGUAACCACAAGUACAAGCAGAAUUUAUUCAGCAUGAAAUACCUUCCACAAGCCCCCAGCUUUAUAUCCCUAAAUUUCAGGUUACUAAAUGCAUAUGGAAAUUGUGAUCCAGUACAACUCAGGGCAGUGCUGCAAUUGCUACAGUACAUUUAUUUUCUGCUGGUAUAUUUUAAAAUUUUAUUUCAGCUUCAAUAAAAUGGUAUUACGUGUUUCAUACCUUC